UCACUUGCAUAUGGCAGAGACUCAAAGGCAGACAAAAGAGUGGGAAAGCUUUACAGUGGACAAAAGGACUGCAGGUGGCCUAGGGAAGAUGGAGGAAGUUCCUGGAAUGAACAAUAAAGUUAUUUGCAACUUUUAUUUUCCUGGACAAGAGUUUCCUGGAAUAGUAAAGUUAUUAUGAUGAAGGCAGCAGAAGAGUCAAGUCAUGCUGGUAAUGCUGAAAUAAACAUCUCUGGAUAUACAGCUUCCUGCUUCUGAAGAACGAAAGACAAAAAACAGAGAGCUAAGAAAAGGACUGAUUAAACUCUUAUGACAGUGGUUUUCAAACUUUUGGUCUUAGGGCACCUUUACACUCUUAAAACUAUU